GACGAACGCUGGCGGCGUGCUUAACACAUGCAAGUCGAACGGUGAAGCCUUCGGGUGGAUCAGUGGCGAACGGGUGAGUAACACGUGAGCAAUCUGCCCUUGACUCUGGGAUAACUUCGGGAAACCGGAGCUAAUACCGGAUAUGACAUCUGGCCGCAUGGUCUGGGUGUGGAAAGAUUUAUCGGUCAGGGAUGAGCUCGCGGCCUAUCAGCUUGUUGGGGGGUAAUGGCCCACCAAGGCGACGACGGGUAGCCGGCCUGAGAGGGCGACCGGCCACACUGGGACUGAGACACGGCCCAGACUCCUACGGGAGGCAGCAGUGGGGAAUAUUGCGCAAUGGGCGAAAGCCUGACGCAGCGACGCCGCGUGAGGGAUGAAGGCCU
rnacentral:rRNA from 1 species